GAAAAAGGAGAAAAGGGAAAAACCUGUCUGGGAAGCAUAAUUGAGAGACACGUUUAGAGCUUCAGUCUUAAGAUACACAAGAACUGCCAAAAAGUUCAAUAUCUGUAGCUGUCUAUAACUGUCUGUAUGGAAAUGAAAGAUGGAUAUCCCAAUAGUACCUGGAAUCUGAAAUCAAGAGAUUGCGAAAAAGAAGGCAAAACCCUAUUUGGAUUAUACUUGCUUUGGCUGUUUUGUGAAACCCAUGGAACCUCUGAGGAUCUGCACAAUCUGCCUGAGACAAGACAGCAUAGCAAGCAAUUGUAUGUAGAAAUAAUGACAUUCAUUUUCAAUAUCCAGAUAGUU